rnacentral:rRNA from 1 species
AUUGAACGCUGGCGGCAUGCUUUACACAUGCAAGUCGAACGGCAGCACGGGCUUCGGCCUGGUGGCGAGUGGCGAACGGGUGAGUAAUAUAUCCGUACGUACCCAGAAGUGGGGGAUAACGUAGCGAAAGUUACGCUAAUACCGCAUACGAUCUAUGGAUGAAAGCAUUGGUCCCCAAGGCCUUGUGCUCCUGGAGCGUCCGAUAUCUGAUUAGCUAGUUGGUGAGGUAAAGGCUCACCAAGGCGACGAUCAGUAGCUGGUCUGAGAGGACGACCAGCCACACUGGAACUGAGACACGGUCCAGACUCCUACGGGAGGCAGCAGUAGGGAAUUUUGGACAAUGGGCGCAAGCCUGAUCCAGCAAUGCCGCGUGAGUGAAGAAGGCCUUCGGGUUGUAAAGCUCUUUUGUAAGGGAAGAAAAGGUAGAGGCUAAUAUCCUUAGCUAAUGACGGUACCUGAAGAAUAAGCACCGGCUAACUACGUG